rnacentral:rRNA from 1 species
GACGAAGGAUGCAAGCGUUAUCCGGAUUCAUUGGGUUUAAAGGGUGCGUAGGCGGACUUGUAAGUCAGUGGUGAAAUCUCUUUGCUUAACAAAGAAACUGCCAUUGAUACUGCAGGUCUAGAGUAUAGAUGACGUUGGCGGAAUAUGACAUGUAGUGGUGAAAUACUUAGAUAUGUCAUAGAACACCGAUUGCGAAGGCAGCUAACGAAACUAUAACUGACGCUGAGGCACGAAAGUGCGGGGAUCAAACAGGA